rnacentral:ncRNA from 3 species
UACGAGGGGAGCUAGCGUUGUUCGGAAUUACUGGGCGUAAAGGGCGUGUAGGCGGUACCAUAAGUCAGAUGUGAAAGCCCUAGGCUUAACCUAGGAGGUGCAUUUGAUACUGUGGAACUAGAGAUCGAGAGAGGUAAGUGGAAUUACGAGUGUAGAGGUGAAAUUCGUAGAUAUUCGUAAGAACACCAGUGGCGAAGGCGACUUACUGGCUCGAUACUGACGCUAAGGCGCGAAAGCGUGGGGAGCAAACAGG